AAUAGAUGACGCCGUUGACUUUUUCUCACAUGUUUGACCAUUCAUCUUAUUUAAAAAAUUUACGUAAUUAUAAUUUAUUUUGUUAUGAGUUGUUUUAUUACUCAUAGUAUUUUACAGUGUGAUUUAUAUCCUUGAUCAUAUUCUGCAGAAAAAAUUUGAAUAAGAGAAUGGUCAAACAUGUGAGAAAAAGUCAACGGCGUCAUCUAUU
rnacentral:pre_miRNA from 1 species